AGGUAGUGACAAGAAAUAACAAUACAGGGCUAUUGUCUUGUAAUUGGAACGAUGGUGACUUAAACCCUCACCAGAGUACCAAUUGGAGGGCAAGUCUGGUGCCAGCAGCCGCGGUAAUUCCAGCUCCAAUAGCGUAUAUUAAACUUGUUGCAGUUAAAAAGCUCGUAGUUGAAUUUCAGCGUUGUUUUCGUGUUCCCUUUUUGCGGGUUUCGUCUACUUCGCUUUUUUUUAUUACUUUGAGAAAAUUAGAGUGUUUCAAGCAGGCUUUUGUCUUGAAUACUUGAGCAUGGAAUAAUAGAGUAGGACUUUGGUUCUAUUUUGUUGGUUUUAGGUACCAAAGUAAUGGUUAAUAGGAACA
rnacentral:rRNA from 1 species